UACGAAGGGGGCUAGCGUUGCUCGGAAUCACUGGGCGUAAAGCGCACGCAGGCGGCUUUCUAAGUCAGGGGUGAAAUCCUGGAGCUCAACUCCAGAACUGCCCUUGAUACUGGAAAGCUUGAGUUCGGGAGAGGUGAGUGGAACUGCGAGUGUAGAGGUGAAAUUCGUAGAUAUUCGCAAGAACACCAGUGGCGAAGGCGGCUCACUGGCCCGAUACUGACGCUGAGGUGCGAAAGCGUGGGGAGCAAACAGG
rnacentral:rRNA from 1 species